GACGAACCGUGCGAACGUUGUUCGGAUUCACUGGGCUUAAAGGGCGCGUAGGCGGUCGGCCAAGUCUGGGGUGAAAUCUUUCGGCUCAACCGGAAAAGUGCCCCCGAUACUGGCCGUCUAGAGGGAGGUAGGGGCAUGUGGAACUUCCGGUGGAGCGGUGAAAUGCGGUAGAUAUCGGAAGGAACGCCGUGCGAAAGCGACGGUGCUGGACUCAUCUGACGCUGAGGCGCGAAAGCCAGGG
rnacentral:rRNA from 1 species